rnacentral:lncRNA from 1 species
CGUAGCUUUUCAUUCCUCAAUUGGAAUGUUUUUAAUGUUUGAACCAAACAUGCAUGCCAAAACUGCACCUAAUAAAAUUAUAAUUAUAUUCUUAAUAUCAUUAAAUACCCAAUCCGUGUUUAAAUUACCCCAAUUGUCUUGACAGAUUUUUCGUGUUAGUUUGGAUUAAGAGUCAAACAGAUGUGGUUGUUAUAACGUUUACUUUGUUAUGUAACCAUUCUUUGUGUGAGAGCCUGUGUGUGUGUUUGUUUGUGUGUGUGUGUGUGUGAGUGAGUGUGUGUGUGCACACACGUUAGGUAUUUUUUGCAGAGGAAAAUAAUAAUAAUGCAGCACCCUUUGUAUUUGGCUUAGUGCUUCAUUUUGUGUCAUUUUAUUUAUUUCUGUACCAAUUCUUUUAAACUAAUGUUGAGAUCAAGGAUAUUUAUUAGCUUAGGUUCAUUCUUUUAGUUUCUCUUAAUAAAGCAAAAAUUCUUUAAAAAUCCUAUAAUUGUCAGAAAAUAAAAUUAAAAGUUUGGAGUGAUUAUAGUGACAAAGAUGUAUAACAUAUUAAUUUUCAGGAUCUUAUAAAAAAACAAAAAAAUUAUAGGUAAGAAACAACUCCAAAUGCUACUUUCAAAAUUGCUUCCAGCUGUGUGAAGAGAAUUCACUGGCCAUUAUCAGAAACAUUACAGAUUAUUUCUGUCUUUCCUCAAACCUAAGUUAUUAAAGUUUAAAAUCUAUUUGGGAACUUUAUGAAGGGUCAGUAUGAAUUAGCCCUCCUCUCUGUUCCGUCUCCAUGGUUCUUCUAGACAAGGAAACAAUAGCAUUUGAAACACACAAACCAAGAAUGUGCCUGGGGAUAGAGCAGCAAGGCUGUUUCAGAGUCUGGCCAACCCACACAGAGCCUUCACUGUCAGUGACAUUCCAGCCCCUCCAUACCCUGACUGACAGGUCUUCUUUCAGAUCAUUAAGGUGUAUAUGGUUUUGGAGAACAGAAUCGAAGGUGAAAAAAGGACAGAAGCAAAGGCUACACAAAACAAAGCCAGACCUGGAGAUCAUUUUCAAACUCUUCCCUCCUCACCCAAAAUACAUGAAAAGCCCUUCUGUAAAGCAACUGAUGUCUUCAACUUACUAUGAAACGGAGAUGAAUAACUCAGCUUGAUGAAGGAACCCUCAUGUCCACUAUAAUAGAGCAUGGCAAAUUGGAGUCUUCAAUUAAGCACACGGAAUACAUGUGCUGAAUUGCUUUCUUUGCAAGGUUCAGAGUCAGAAUUCCUGCCCUGGGUUCUGAGUUGCUGAGUGGAGACGAUGAUGGAGAGCAGUGGAGACACGUGAUUUUCAGGGUGCUCUUUGCAUGCAUGAAAUGGAGCAAGACUUAUGAAGGGAAAAUGAAAGAGGAGGAUAGGAAGAUACGUCACCUCCUGGGUUUCCUCCAAUCAUCCAGUCCUCAUCUCUCUAUAUGUCUUUGAACACUCUGAGCGCCAUCAUGCCAAUUCCAUGGAUGAAACAAAUACCCAUGACUCAGCAUUUUUCUAAUGAAAACACGUGCGGUCUGACCCGAAGGAGAAACCACAAACAGAAUUGAGAAAAGCAGGCAGGCAAAUUUUGCUUUUCUUUUUCGUUAACCAACAGAAAAUGUAAGGACUGUUUCAUUAGGGAAUAAAAAAAAAAUGACUUACAGAAUUAACCAGAAGCAGCUCAUGAUAAAAUACAGUAUCACGCUAGAAAUACAUGUUUUACUUUUCAUGAAAGCUAACCACAUUGCCAUGAUGGGAACUCUCACACAUUGCUGGUGGGUAUGCAAAAUGAGACAGCCAGUCUGGAAAACAGUCUGCCAGUUUCCCGUGAUGUUACACUUACCACACACCCUAAUAAUCCCAAGUCUAGGUAUUUACCCUAGAGAAAUGAGGACUUAAUGUUCAACCCAAAAUCUGCACGUGAAAAUUUGUAGCGGCUUUAUUCCUUGUCACUAAAAACUGAGAACAACCAGAUGUCCUGCAAGUGACUGAAUAAACAAAGUAUAGUAAUUCAUAUACUACAAAGUAUAAUUCAUGGAGUACUAUGAAGCAAAAGCAGGAAUGACUAGAGUUAAUAACAAAGUAUUGUAUUGUUGAAAAUUGCUGAGCGAGUAGAUUUUAAAUGUUCUCACCACAAAGAACUGAAAAGUAUGUGAGGUAAUGAAUAUGUUAAGUAGCUUGAUUUAGCCAUUCCACAAUGUACAUAUAUCAAAACAUCGUGGUGUAUACCAUAAAUAUAUACAAAUGUUAUUUGUCUAUUAAAGAAGUUAAUUAAAGAAAAGGAUGGACUAUUGAUACACACAACCACUUGGAUACAUUGCAAAGGUACCAUGCUGAAUGAAAGAAAUUAGUUUCAAAAGCUAUGAUUUCAUUUAGAUGACAUCCUCAAGAAGACAAAACUGUAGUGACAAGGACAGAUUAGUGACUAGGAGAGACUGAGACAGGGCUGGGGUGUGUAAGUAACUACAAAAGGAGAACAUGGGAAAUUUUCGAGGCAAAAGGGUUGUCUUGGGUUCCUGCAGUUGUGACAGUUCCAGAAACCUGUAUUUGUGUUAAAAUCUACAGAACUGUACACAGUGAAGCCAAUUUUACUGUAUGUUAACUUUAAAAAUAUAAUACCACAAUAAAAUUAAACAUCACGCUGAAUGCUAAGAAUAGGAUAGACUUGCUUCAAUGGAUGGGGGAAAGACUUGCUUAACGGUAGGAGCCAUUUCAGGCAGAGACACUGAGGCUACUCUGUAACAAGGGAGAAAGGCAGCCUGAAAACUUGGUAAAUCUGUUUCCAAAAUAUUUGUCAUGUCCUUAAAAAUAAAAGCACACUGGAAAACACAAAAACGGAAUCAACCUCUCAGUAAAAGUCCUAUUGGCAUAUCGUUAAUCGUUUUUGUAUUUACAUUCAUUUAAAUAUUGUUUGCUAAAGCUCAUGUGAUCUAUUGCAAGCUGUUUAAGAAACUAUACUGUGUAGAAAGGAGAAUGAAUGGUUUCACUGUACAAAGCUGUCGGCUUCUCUACUGACACUCAGCACAAUCCAUAACCUUGUUGAGACAUUAACAGGACUACAUUACUCAUCACAAUAAGAUUAUUAGUUGAUGGGAAACAAAUUACAGACCUUCCCAACCUGCUCUACUUCCUGACUGCAUACAAGGCGGUUUUUCAUCAAUGGAAAUUGCUACCCAGGAAGAGAAACUUGUUUGUCUUAGGAAAUUUCCAAUAGUAGAAGGGGUUCAUUCUGGGAACAAAAAGUGCAAAGUGGUAAAAGAAAUAAAAAGUUUAAAAAUUAUUUAGAUGGAAGCCUAAGGGUGCUCACAGCUCGGCAACAUAUUGGGUAGAGAUACAGAACAUGAGCUGGGGAAAUCGAAAAAAAAAAUCAUACCUGUUUUGUUUAAUGCGAUGGCACAGCUCUGCAUGUUGCCAUGGAUUUAUUGGAAAAACACCUUUAGGAAUGGAGGGGAUGCCAAAUACAGUGCUGGCAACUUACGGAGACAUCUAAAAUGACUUGGUCUGUUCUAGUCCCUGUGUCAUGAAUGCCAGCAGCUAGCAGAGGCUUUCUCAUCUUUUAGUUCUCAGAUCAUCCUGGAGUACCUUCCUGGACCACUCUCUUCCCCUGCAGGUGGAACCAACUUCUCUCCUUCACCACCUCCAGGAACCAUGUACAGAUGCUAUUUUCCCACCCGCCACUCUCGUUCAUUACUCUCCUUAUCCUUUUGCACAAGGGACUGAGCUCCAAGUCCAAGGUCUGUUACAUGACUGAAGGGGAGUUGCAAUAACGGUUCAUUAGAUCACAGUUUCCAAUAGCAACGGCUUAACCUGGGGAAACAGGUGUGGUGUAAUUAACAUAGCUGUCUGUUCAGUUUUGGCACCUGUGACCCACAUCAGUCCUGUCCAUCAGAUUCCAGGGGGUUCCUAAAUGAUGGGGCUGGGAACUCACAGAAAAGAGAGGGAUGUACAGAAAAAUGGCACUGCCUAGGCUCACAAUAGGGUCUUUGGCUCACAAAAGCUUGUCCCAGGAAGUAGACCAGGACAACAUGUGAGAAGUGUGAGAAUCCUAACAAGAGUGCCAUCGGCACUGACAGAUAAUUCACGACACUCCAUUGCACUAACGGCUCUUUUCACGCCUCUGUUUCUCUCUCGGUUUGUAGAGCAGUACCUUGUCCCAUUGCUGUCUAGCUUUCUGGGGAACACUCUUGCCCUGGCUCUGUCCUCAUCCCCUGAGGUGUUCUGACCUUUCCCGCUCGCACUCAUGAGGGCACAACUAAAAUGACACCUACUGUUUUCUUUCCCACCCCCUUUCUUUGCUUCCAGUCUCAGAAAGUCAAUAAAAGCCAUCCUUC